CUCCUCGAGUGCGCCGCUGAGCUUUGCCUGUGCGCGUGGGGGUCGUGCUGUGGAGCGGCUCUAGGAAACCCAGCAGCCGGCGGGAGAAAAUACAUUCUGCCAGAGGGGCUCUGCAGUUAUGCCUUUCGCUCACGCAGGGCUGCUGUGGCACCAGAACAGAGGCAGCUGGCUUACCACUCACAGGCCUCAGCAGUCAGCAGUUGAUAGGGAGAGAGCAGAGGCUGCAUUCCUCACCGUGCACUGUCCAUGGGACCAGGUUUCAAAAUCACUUGAUGCACCCGCGCCGUGAUUUCAAGGUCUACUAGAUGCAACAAGUCUGGAUCAGGAUCAGACUCUGGCUUAAAAUGUGUAGGAAGACAAGGACAAUGGGGAGAGGAACAUUCAGAGUGUGCAACCAACCUAAUUCUCAAUUACUAAGGGACAAUCUCCACUCAUUGAUAUAUUUUGCUUUCCACAACCAAAUCUCUGUACAACUUUUCAUAAGUGAUGUACCCAAGUAUUCAGAUUCUAAUAUCUAAACUGUAUUGUUAAAUCUAUUCACCUAAAUUUGGGUUAUUGCUGAUUAUGUGCACUAUGUAUCAUAUGACUUUUAAAAACUAACUCUUUUCCAAACCAGUGUAUUAUAUAAUUUUUUUAACAUUAACUUUAAUAAAAAUUUUAUAUCUUUGCUGUUUCACUUUUCAAGCAAAACAGUAAACAGAUACAAAUG